rnacentral:lncRNA from 1 species
CUCCUCUUGACUUUAGACUUCAUGACACUUCUAGAUGUUAGUCUUCAAGCUGAAGAAGCAUUGGUGAGGAAGCAAGUAGAAAAUUGGCUGGAGUUGUCAAAUACCAAGGCAAAUGCAGAAAACUGAGCCCUGGAACAUCAAAUAUUAAACAGAGGAAACUUGAAAUCUGUAAGUGUGAUAAAAAUUGCAAGUACUGUUGACUCAGAUGUACUGAGAGGUUCACAUUAUCACUGCCAAGUCUGCUACGCUGCCUACAAAGGAAUCCACACAUCAACA